AACCACUGGGUAUUGCUCAAACUUUUCUGGUCUCUCAGUCGCUGCUCCAGAAAACUUGCAUUCAGUACAACUGGACUCUACAAGCACUGAUAUACAGCUCCAUGGUAUUAUUUGGGAACUGGUCAGACUGUUGAGAAACCCAUGGUUGGGUGUUUCGUAUCAUGGGAAGCUUCAUACAAGCUACAAUGGGCCUGAUGGGAUAAAUGGAUGUUCAGUUGAUGUUUUCAAAUCUGCAAUAAGCUUGUUGCCUUACCCUGUGGGAUGCAUUUUUUUCAUUUCAAGAUGGAUUGGAAAAUCCGAGAUACAGUGACCUUGUACAAAAGGUGUCCAAAAAUAUCAUUAACGUUUGGUGUGUUCAUUUGUAUCAAGUGUUCUGGAGCUCAUACAAGCUUGGGGUGCACAUUUCCAAGGUAACCACAAUAUCUAUGUAUUGCUAGCUAUUUGUUAUCAGUGUCCUUCCAUUUUCAGCUUAAUUUCUUCUUACUUGGAAUGAUUUAAAUUCAGCCGUAGGACAUGUGGGCUUAGACCUUUCAGUUAUAUAGUUAGGCUUUUAUUUGCUAGCCCUUUCUGAAACAAGGCAAGGGCAACCAUGAGGUUUACUUUAGUACUUGUAGGGACCCUUUGAUAUUUUGAUUGUCCUAGCGAUUUCUACUAUCCAAGUCUGCAGAGCAACACAUGGAAGGCUGUCAGACAUUAUAUGUUGUACAGUUUUUUGUAACUUGAGAAACACCUGCAUGGAGCUACACCCCUGUAUUAGCAAAUAAAUAAAUAAACAUGAGAUGAGUCCGUAUGUUUCUCUUUGUGUCUGAGGUUUAAAAACUAUUUUUUUCUAUUUCUAGAGAACCACUGAAGCGUCAUCACACAUGAGAUGAGUCUGCAUGUUUUUUUUUUGACAAUUAUGAGUCCAUAUAGUUAGCAUGCAUACUGGCUAAUAAUCAUUAUUUUCCUAGCACGUCUUGUAAAUUCUCAGUUGCAUUCUGUAGUUGUUGCAACUGAAAUUUUCUUGAAAAUUGGAAUUUUGAACUGUCGUGGAGGAAUAUAAAUGUGUGCUGACUGCAUUGCAAUGUGUCUUCUUAUGCAAUUUACAUUUCUUAUAUUAUCCAAGGUCAAACUUGUACUAAUAUGUAUGAAUAUGAUGUAGGUUGAUGCGAUCAAGUUUAUUUGUAAUAAGCAAAGAUAAUCAGAAGGAUACAGAUUUGUAGAGUUCUACAGUCAUGCUGCAACUGAAAAAGUAGUUGAUGUUUUUGCUGGGCAUAUAAUGCCAAGUACUGAUCAACUUUUUAGGAUAAGCUGGGCAUCAUUUAGCAUGGGGGAUAUGAGUUCGGAGUCAGACAUUGCUUCAGAUAAUUCCAUAUUUGUAGGCGAUCUUGCCUCUGAUGUCAAUGAUGCUGCAUUGCUGGAGACUUUCUCCAGCAGGUACUCCUCUGUCAAAGAUACAAAAGUUGUUAUUGAUGCUAACACUGGUAGAUCAAAGGGCUAUGGAUUUGUGCUUUAUCACGCAUCUGGACUUGUUUCCCUUCUUGAUUUGUUUGGGAGGGAGAUUCAUUCAGAAGUUCACACUUCGCAGUAUUUAUGUACAAAACUGUUUUUGCUCUGCAUUCAUUCCUUGCUGCUUUUAUGCACUACCUUUUUGGAAAAUGGGUUUGUAUGGGUGACAAGUGAGAUAGCUUCAUAUUUUUUAGAAUAUUAAUGAUUGGUCAAAAAAUUUGAGAACAUGUGAAUUGCUAUUAUCAAUGUUCUUUUGGCUAAAAAAUUCUACAGGAAUCAUUUAAUGUUGAUUGCGUAGAUGUGACUAUUUAUUUCUGUUUACUGGAAAAUUGUUGGCUUACAUACUUUUGGGUCUACUGGUUCAUCCUCUCGAUCAGAUGGAGAUUUGAACAAACACAACUGUGAGUACAGAUGCAUUGACUGUAACUUAUGCAAUGUACAUCGUUACAACUUUUCUUUUAUUAUUGUUGUUUAAUUGUCAUUAGGUAUUUAUCGGUUGGCUUGACCCAAAUGUUAGUGAAAAUAAUCUUAAGCAAACCUUCUCCCAGUUGUGAAGAUUGUAGUUGGCCUUGUGUUGGUAGUUGCAGUUACACAAUGAUGGAUUGUGUUUACUUUUUUUUAUGGAAACAGAGAAGCCGAUUAUUCUGUUUGCAAGACGGUUAUCCUAAAUUCUAAUUCAGACAUUAGUGAUGAUACAACAAUUUUCUCCACCAAAAUUGUGAUUUCGGGCGAGCUUAGCUUAGGGUGGGACCACCGGAGAUCGUGUGGCGCACGGGAGACAGAAACUCCACCAGCUAUUGUGUUGUGCCCACCGACAGCAAUAACAAAGAUAUUGAGGUCAUUGCCAGACAUGACUGCCCUGUUUGCAAUCUAUUGGGUAGUCCUAUUUGGUGGAUUGCAUCUAUAGUACGUUGAAAGCAGAUGUAACAUCAUUGAUUUUCACAUUAGAUGGCUCUUGAGUAUAUGUGAUCUUUCUCUACGAGGAGCCUACAAUUUGUAAUGUUGAAUUUCUUUUGAGACCUCCA